rnacentral:rRNA from 1 species
GACGAACGCUGGCGGCGUGCCUAGUACAUGCAAGUCGAGCGGAUCUUCGUUAGCUUGCUUUUGAAGAUCAGCGGCGGACGGGUGAGUAACACGUGGGCAACCUGCCUGUAAGACUGGGAUAACUUCGGGAAACCGGAGCUAAUACCGGAUAAUCCUUUUCCUCUCAUGAGGAAAAGCUGAAAGACGGUUUCGGCUGUCACUUACAGAUGGGCCCGCGGCGCAUUAGCUAGUUGGUGAGGUAACGGCUCACCAAGGCGACGAUGCGUAGCCGACCUGAGAGGGUGAUCGGCCACACUGGGACUGAGACACGGCCCAGACUCCUACGGGAGGCAGCAGUAGGGAAUCUUCCGCAAUGGACGAAAGUCUGACGGAGCAACGCCGCGUGAGCGAUGAAGGCCUUCGGGUCGUAAAGCUCUGUUGUCAGGGAAGAACAAGUAUCGGAGUAACUGCCGGUACCUUGACGGUACCUGACCAGAAAGCCACGGCUAACUACGUGCCAGCAGCCGCCGUAACAC